GACGAACGCUGGCGGCGUGCUUAACACAUGCAAGUCGAGCGAGAAACUUCGGUUUCUAGCGGCGGACGGGUGAGUAACACGUGGGCAACCUGCCUCACAAUGGGGGAUAGCCUUCCGAAAGGAAGAUUAAUACCGCAUAACACAAAGGAAACGCAUGUUUCUUUUGCCAAAGAAUUUCGUUGUGAGAUGGGCCCGCGGCGCAUUAGCUUGUUGGUGAGGUAACGGCUCACCAAGGCGACGAUGCGUAGCCGACCUGAGAGGGUGAUCGGCCACAGUGGAGCGGAGACACGGUCCAGACUGCUACGGGAGGCAGCAGUGGGGAAUAUUGCACAAUGGAGGAAACUCUGAUGCAGCAACGCCGCGUGAGUGGUGAAGGUCUUCGGAUUGUAAAGCUCUGUCUUCUGGGACGAUAAUGACGGUACCAGAGGAGGAAGCCACGGCUAACUACGUGCCAGCCGCCGCAGUAA
rnacentral:rRNA from 1 species